CGGACGGGUGAGUAACGCGUGGGAACGUACCCUUCUCUGCGGAAUAGCCACUGGAAACGGUGAGUAAUACCGCAUACGCCCUUCGGGGGAAAGAUUUAUCGGGGAAGGAUCGGCCCGCGUCUGAUUAGGUAGUUGGUGGGGUAAUGGCCUACCAAGCCUACGAUCAGUAGCUGGUUUUAGAGGAUGAUCAGCCACACUGGGACUGAGACACGGCCCAGACUCCUACGGGAGGCAGCAGUGGGGAAUCUUAGACAAUGGGCGCAAGCCUGAUCUAGCCAUGCCGCGUGAGUGAUGAAGGCCUUAGGGUCGUAAAGCUCUUUCGCCAGGGAUGAUAAUGACAGUACCUGGUAAAGAAACCCCGGCUAACUCCGUGCCAGCAGCCGCGGUAAUACGGAGGGGGUUAGCGUUGUUCGGAAUUACUGGGCGUAAAGCGCACGUAGGCGGACUAUUAAGUCAGGGGUGAAAUCCCGGGGCUCAACCCCGGAACUGCCUUUGAUACUGGUAGUCUUGAGUUCGAGAGAGGUGAGUGGAAUUCCGAGUGUAGAGGUGAAAUUCGUAGAUAUUCGGAGGAACACCAGUGGCGAAGGCGGCUCACUGGC
rnacentral:rRNA from 1 species